rnacentral:lncRNA from 1 species
GAUGGUUGAGGGUAAAGCGGAGAAGAGAUGGUCCAAUGGCUCUAUGAGGCAGUGUUCUGCUCUGGUUGGAAGGCUCAGCAGACUUAUUCCUACUGCCUCUGCUGCUUUGGCUGGAAAGAGACCAGACCAACCGUGAGGGGUGCAUGGCACCGGGAUGGCAGGAGCUGGUUCUCUCACCGUGCUUAAGGUGAGGAUGGAAAGGAACAUGAAGAAUUUAGUGCAUGGGAGAGGUGACAGAACCAAACAUGAGUGGUGUGGACAGCUGACAACUGAGUCUGGCGAAGGACUGUCCUUUCAUAGUUGGGUAGUGAAUGCAGAGGGCCUUUUGUACAAGAGGGUUCCAUCCACUCCCUUUGGCUCUUCAUGGUCUUUCCUGUGGACAUUCCAGAAGAAUGAAGGAAAGUGACCUUGGGGGAAUCUGUGGUUCUUGUUGGAACACUGGACGUACCACAUUAUUGGAAAGAUGCCUUCAACUUUUCAAAUGCUGGUAACAAGAACAUUUCCAUUUCCAAUGACCGCUUGUGUCCUGAAACUUUCCACCCAAAUAAUAACAGACAUGCUAGCUGUGACAGCCAUGGGCAGGGUGCCGGGGCCUCUGCGACAACCAUGGCCAUCCAAGUAGUGACCUGGGGGAGGUGAGAAGGUAAUUGGUUUCAAGACGACUAAGUAGUCAGUCUUGGUUCAAACUUUUGGAACCUGCCCCUGAGUUUUAGCUAUAUUUAAGCAAAGUAUAAUUUGGUAGAAACCUUUCCUUGUUAUAGUGAACUCAAUCUCUUGUGCACAAUAAAGCUUAAGAUGUG